rnacentral:rRNA from 1 species
UUGAACGCUGGCGGCAUGCCUAACACAUGCAAGUCGAACGGUAACAGGCCUUCGGGCGCUGACGAGUGGCGGACGGGUGAGUAAUACGUAGGAAUCUGCCUUAUAGUGGGGGAUAACUUAGGGAAACUUAAGCUAAUACCGCAUACGCACUACGGUGGAAAGCAGGGGAUCGCAAGACCUUGCGCUAUUAGAUGAGCCUACGUCGGAUUAGCUAGUUGGUAGGUAAAGGCCUACCAAGGCAACGAUCCGUAGCUGGUCUGAGAGGACGACCAGCCACACUGGGACUGAGACACGGCCCAGACUCCUACGGGAGGCAGCAGUGGGGAAUAUUGGACAAUGGGCGCAAGCCUGAUCCAGCAAUGCCGCGUGUGUGAAGAAGGCCUUCGGGUUGUAAAGC